AUAAUGAUACUUGCGUCCAGUCCUAAAGCCGAGCGUGACCCGUCGCAGCAAAGGAGGGCGCCCUGCGGAGAUCCCGCAGGUGGUGAGAUUCCAAUGA
rfam:Ruminiclostridium sp. KB18, complete genome.